rnacentral:rRNA from 1 species
UACGGAGGGGGCUAGCGUUGUUCGGAAUUACUGGGCGUAAAGCGCACGUAGGCGGCUUUGCAAGUUAGAGGUGAAAGCCCGGGGCUCAACUCCGGAAUUGCCUUUAAGACUGCAUCGCUAGAAUUGUGGAGAGGUAAGUGGAAUUCCGAGUGUAGAGGUGAAAUUCGUAGAUAUUCGGAAGAACACCAGUGGCGAAGGCGACUUACUGGACACAUAUUGACGCUGAGGUGCGAAAGCGUGGGGAGCGAACAGG